AGAGUUUGAUCAUGGCUCAGGACGAACGCUGGCGGCGUGCUUAACACAUGCAAGUCGAACGGAAAUGAAGGAGCUUGCUCCUUUUGAUUAGUGGCGAACGGGUGAGUAACACGUGGGCAACCUGCCUCUGACUCUGGGAUAACUACUCGAAAGAGUAGCUAAUACCGGAUAUGAAACCUGGAGACAUCUUCGGGUUUGGAAAGUUUUUCGGUCAGGGAUGGGCCCGCGGCCUAUCAGCUAGUUGGUGAGGUAGUGGCUCACCAAGGCGACGACGGGUAGCCGGCCUGAGAGGGCGACCGGCCACACUGGACUGAGACACGGCCCAGACUCCUACGGGAGGCAGCAGUGGGGAAUAUUGCGCAAUGGGCGAAAGCCUGACGCAGCAACGCCGCGUGCGGGAUGAAGGCCUUCGGGUUGUAAACCGCUUUCAGCAGGGAAGAAGCGAAAGUGACGGUACCUGCAGAAGAAGCACCGGCUAACUACGUGCCAGCAGCCGCGGUAAUACGUAGGGUGCAAGCGUUGUCCGGAUUUAUUGGGCGUAAAGAGCUCGUAGGCGGUUAGUCACGUCGGAUGUGAAAACUCAGUGCUUAACACUGAGCCUGCAUUCGAUACGGGCUGACUAGAGUAUUGUAGGGGAGACUGGAACUCCU
rnacentral:rRNA from 1 species